rnacentral:tRNA from 1 species
UGGGGUGUAGGCUAGUUGGUAGAGUGCUUACCUAACGUGCAGGACACCCUGGGUUCUAUUCUAUACCCAGCAACUCAU